rnacentral:rRNA from 1 species
UGCGGUGGGUACGGGCAGACUAGAGUGAUGUAGGGGAGACUGGAAUUCCUGGUGUAGCGGUGAAAUGCGCAGAUAUCAGGAGGAACACCGAUGGCGAAGGCAGGUCUCUGGGCAUUAACUGACGCUGAGGAGCGAAAGCAUGGGGAGCGAACAGGAUUAGAUACCCUGGUAGUCCAUGCCGUAAACGUUGGGCACUAGGUGUGGGGGACAUUCCACGUUUUCCGCGCCGUAGCUAACGCAUUAAGUGCCCCGCCUGGGGAGUACGGCCGCAAGGCUAAAACUCAAAGGAAUUGACGGGGGCCCGCACAAGCGGCGGAGCAUGCGGAUUAAUUCGAUGCAACGCGAAGAACCUUACCAAGGCUUGACAUGAACCGGUAAGACCUGGAAACAGGUCCCCCACUUGUGGCCGGUUUACAGGUGGUGCAUGGUUGUCGUCAGCUCGUGUCGUGAGAUGUUGGGUUAAGUCCCGCAACGAGCGCAACCCUCGUUCCAUGUUGCCAGCGCGUUAUGGCGGGGACUCAUGGGAGACUGCCGGGGUCAACUCGGAGGAAGGUGGGGACGACGUCAAAUCAUCAUGCCCCUUAUGUCUUGGGCUUCACGCAUGCUACAAUGGCCGGUACAAAGGGUUGCGAUACUGUGAGGUGGAGCUAAUCCCAAAAAGCCGGUCUCAGUUCGGAUUGGGGUCUGCAACUCGACCCCAUGAAGUCGGAGUCGCUAGUAAUCGCAGAUCAGCAACGCUGCGGUGAAUACGUUCCCGGGCCUUGUACACACCGCCCGUCAAGUCACGAAAGUUGGUAACACCCGAAGCCGGUGGCCUAACCCCUUGUGGGAGGGAGCUGUCGAAGGUGGGACUGGCGAUUGGGA